rnacentral:tRNA from 1 species
GAGGGUAUAACUCAGUGGUAGAGCAUGUGCUUAGCAUGCACAAGGCCCUGGGUUCAAUCCCCAGUACCUCUA